rnacentral:rRNA from 1 species
UACGGAGGGUGCAAACGUUGCUCGGAAUCAUUGGGCGUAAAGCGCACGUAGGCGGCGCGUUAAGUCGGGUGUGAAAGCCCUGGGCUCAACCCAGGAAGUGCAUUCGAAACUGGCGCGCUUGAAUAUGGAAGAGGGUCGCGGAAUUCCCGGUGUAGUGGUGGAAUGCGUAGAUAUCGGGAGGAACACCAGUGGCGAAGGCGGUUACCUGGAGCUUUGCUGACGCUGAUGCGCGAAAGCGUGGGGAGCGAUCCGG